rnacentral:lncRNA from 1 species
AUAAAACUUAUAAUUAAAUGAAAAAGACUAUCUAUCAAAAUUCACGUAGAAAAAAUCCAGUGUAUAUGCUGGGAUUCGAACUCAAGACCUUUAGCAUAUCAAGCCACGACACAACCACUACACCAGGACGACUGGAUACGAUCUAUCAGUAAUUUAACAUACUUAAAGGAAGCAUGAUGUUUUUUAUAAGUGGGGCGAGUUGGCAGACCUUUAUUCAGUGGGGUUUAAACCCUUUUCGUUAAUAAUUAAGUGAGUUGUCAGUGAUUGUUCAGUUUGAUUUUACACUUUUUCAAAAGUGGGGAGAGUAGGUAAACAAGAGUGGGGCGAUUUUUUUCAUAAAGUGGCGAUAUAGGUUGGGCCGAUUGGCCAGUGGGGCGAGUUGACAUUGUUUGAUAUCUACUCAUCAUGUUCAGGGGUCAAAAAGGGUACAAAUCAUAUAGUAAUGUAUAAAGUAUAUUAUAAUGGUUGUGUGGCGUUCUAAACUAGAUUUUAUGAAUUGUAAAUGGUUUUUCGUCUAAUCUAAAACAGCUGGGAUGUAAAAUAGUUAUCCCACUCGGACUUGGUGUGUCAGUGUAAGAUCACCCUCUGGCCUCCGGCCAUCGGGGUGAUCUUACACUGACACACCGCGUCAUCGUGGGAUAACUAUUAAUCAAGCAGUUCUUAUUCAGGCCAGACACUGCCCUUUGGCGAAAUUUUGAAGAAUAAACCAAAACCAGUUACACAGAAACAUUUUGAAUAUAUAUGCGAUUUACAUGUAUUAUUAUUGUCGCCUUUGAUUUUUCCGUAUAUCUUGUUCAUCCGUUUUAUCCGGUACGCUUCCGUUAGGUGUCCGUUUUAUGCGGUACUCGUCCGUUGGAUGUACGUUCGACAUCCGUUCUGUCCGGUACGUGUACGUUUCUCGUACGUUGCAUGUCCGGUGUGUGUCCGUUAUGCAUCCGUUACACGUCCGUUUUAUU